rnacentral:rRNA from 1 species
AGAGUUUGAUUAUGGCUCAGAAUUAAUGCUAGUGGUGUGCCUAACACAUGCAAGUCGAACGGUGUUAUAGAAAUUGAGCUUCGGUUAAUUUUAUAAAUAUAGUGGCAACCGGGUGAGUAAUAUAUAAAUAAUCUACCUUGAAGAGAGGGAUAGUUCUGCGAAAGUGGAGAUAAUACCUCAUAAUGUCAUAAUUAGGGGACUUUUUAUGAUUAAAGAUUUAUCGCUUCAAGAUGAGUUUAUACACUAUCAGCUAGUUGGUAGGGUAAUGGCCUACCAAGGCUACGACGGUUAGCCGGCCUGAAAGGGUGAACGGCCACAUUGGAACUGAUACACGGUCCAGACUCCUACGGGAGGCAGCAGUGGGGAAUAUUGCGCAAUGGGGGAAACCCUGACGCCAGCGACACCAUGUGAAGGAUGAAGGUCUUAGGAUUGUAAACUUCUGUCUAGAGGAAAGAAUAGAUGACGGUACCUCUAAAGAAAGCACCGGCUAACUCCGUGCCAGCCGCGGC